CCUGAGAAACGGCUACCACAUCCAAGGAAGGCAGCAGGCGCGCAAAUUACCCACUCCCGGCACGGGGAGGUAGUGGCGAAAAAUAACGAUACGGGACUCAUCCGAGGCCCCGUAAUCGGAAUGAGCACAACUUAAAUACUUUAGCGAGUAUCCAUUGGAGGGCAAGUCUGUUGCCAGCAGCCGCGGUAAUUCCAGCUCCAAUAGCGUAUAUUAAAGUUGUUGCGGUUAAAAAGCUCGUAGUUGGAUCUGUGUCCCACACCGUCGGUUCGUCGCCCGUCGACGUAACGCACGGUUAUGUGAGUGGUACGUCCAGCCGGUGGGUCGUCAGGUCGCGCGCUCAGCUGGCCGCGCCCCUUGACGGUGUCAAUACCGUGGCCUCGCCGAUACGUGGCCUCCCCGUGUGUCGGGCGGGUGGNCCGCGUUCGCGCGGCCCCCCCCUGGCCCGUCAUCAAAAGCGGCGUGUGUCGCGGGGCCCGUCUCGCAGGGUGUCGCUGUGUCGGCGCACGGUGCCGGAACCAUGUUACUCCGUCUCGGUGCUCUUAAUCGAGUGUCUUGACGGGCCGGCUCUUUUACUUUGAACAAAUUAGAGUGCUYAAAGCAGGCCAAUUGCUGCCUGAAUAUUGUGUGCAUGGAAUAAUGGAAUAGGAUCUCGGAUCUAUUUUGUUGGUUUUCUGAACCAGAGAUAAUGAUUAAUAGAGACUGAUGGGGGCAUUCGUAUUGCGACGUUAGAGGUGAAAUUCUUGGACCGUCGCAAGACGAACAGAAGCGAAAGCAUUUGCCAAGAAUGCUCUCGUUAAUCAAGAACGAAAGUUAGAGGUUCGAAGGCGAUCAGAUACCGCCCUAGUUCUAACCAUAAACGAUGCCAACUAGCGAUCCGCCGGAGUUCCUCCGAUGACCCGGCGGGCAGCUUCCGGGAAACCAAAGUGUUUGGGUUCCGGGGGAAGUAUGGUUGCAAAGCUGAAACUUAAAGGAAUUGACGGAAGGGCACCACCAGGAGUGGAGCCUGCGGCUUAAUUUGACUCAACACGGGAAAACUCACCAGGCCCGGACACUGGAAGGAUUGACAGAUUGAUAGCUCUUUCUUGAUUCAGUGGGUGGUGGUGCAUGGCCGUUCUUAGUUGGUGGAGCGAUUUGUCUGGUUAAUUUCCGAUAACGAACGAGACUC
rnacentral:rRNA from 1 species